GAAGAGCUCAAUACUAAAUUGGUUUGUGUCCAUGGGAGAAGGUGGGUGAGGAGUGGAAAGCAAAGAUAGCACUCAGCAAUGAGCUCAAGAAGCAAAAGCAAGAGCAGAUGUUCCCAAGGUUCUUCUGGGAGGAGACAGAUUGAACGGGGAACAGUGAGAAGCCCAGGGGCUGAAAGCCCCAGUCACCAGCGACCAGCAGCAAAGGCAGGCUCCGUGAACGGAGCAGGAGAAGCCUGCCUCCCGCAGCUCAACAACGCACAGGUCAAACUAGAGACUCCAAAGAGAAGCUCCAGAAACAGGAGACACCAGGAAACUAAGACUAACUAUUUUUCGAAAAGCAAGAGAAGCAAGAGAAGAUAGAGUCUAUGCAGCAGGAGCACGGAAAAGACGGGGCUGGCGCAAGAAACUUGUGGGAUGGGCCUUUGAAGACUUAGAAAAGGGUGCAGAUAAAAAUAAGCGAAUGAGAGGAGGCACGACAAGAGAAAAGAAGGCCCUGUAUGGCUAUCUAAUGUAGCAGUGAAAGGAAGAAAUGGCUCAGGAGAAAAUGGGACAGACCACUAGAGGACACAAAGGCAGAGAAGGUGGAUGAGGAGGGUCAGGAGCCGGCACGUAGAAGGCAGGCAAGGACGGAACUCAAGAACGAGGAAAUCAGAAGAGACAUCAGAUUCUGUGGAACUGGAAUUAUAGACAGCUGUGAACUGACAAUGUGGGUGAUAAGAAUUAAACUUCGGCCCUCUGGAAGAACAGCAAGUGAUUGAACCAUCUCUCCCAUUUCUUGUCCUCUUCUGCUCUUCUUACUAUAGUUUGCUGAAUCUUCAAUCUUGCUCAAUUUAAGAAUAAAAAUGAAUGAUCCUCCUGCUUCAC